rnacentral:rRNA from 1 species
GAUGAACGCUGGCGGCGUGCCUAAUACAUGCAAGUCGAGCGAACAGACGAGGAGCUUGCUCCUCUGACGUUAGCGGCGGACGGGUGAGUAACACGUGGAUAACCUACCUAUAAGACUGGGAUAACUUCGGGAGACCGGAGCUAAUACCGGAUAAUAUAUUGAACCGCAUGGUUCAAUAGUGAAAGACGGUUUUGCUGUCAUUUAUAGAUGGAUCCGCGCCGCAUUAGCUAGUUGGUAAGGUAACGGCUUACCAAGGCAACGAUGCGUAGCCGACCUGAGAGGGUGAUCGGCCACACUGGAACUGAGACACGGUCCAGACUCCUACGGGAGGCAGCAGUAGGGAAUCUUCCGCAAAGGGCGAAAGCCUGACGGAGCAACGCCGCGUGAGUGAUGAAGGUCUUCGGAUCGUAAAACUCUGUUAUUAGGGAAGAACAAAUGUGUAAGUAACUAUGCACGUCUUGACGGUACCUAAUCAGAAAGCCACGGCUAACUACGUG